UACUAAUGUAUAACACAUUAGUGAUGAGUCUCCCUAGGCCAGUUAUUAGUGGCACGUUAUGUUACAACUUGUCACUUAUGACCUGACAUUAGUGAUAGAUCUAUCUGGGCCAAUCAUAAGUGACGUGUGAUGUUACGACCCGUCAUCGAUAAUAAGUCAUAAGUGAUGUGUACUAUAAUGACCUGUCACUGAUGACUCGACUCUGUUAUUAGAGCUGGCCAACUAUAGCACGCCCAGCAGUUACAGAGCGCGAUCUUAGCGCCAACUUCUGGCGAUUUUCUUUGGUUUCACUAGAGACUCUCUAAUAUCUUGUUGAUUUAAAGUUUGAAUUAUUGCUAGGUCUUUGAAGGUUCGUAUCUCCCCCUUUCCUCCUCCUCUAGCCAGGAAGAAAGGCUCUAAGAAGCACUUACGAAGAAGUCGAGGGCUAUUGUACUGGUGUAGAAGUCCACAAACAUUGGAGAAGCAUGGACUAAUGCUCACAUGAAAUUCUAAUAUGGGAAGACUUUGAUGAAGGUAGGUGACCUAACAAGGGUGGGACAAGUAUGUGUGGACCUAUAUAAUCACUAUAUAUAGGCUUGUAGAGACACCCAUACUCAAUUCAUAGUCGUACAAUACAAACUAUGUCACUUCUUAACUGACGAUGACUACUUCUUUACGGGUUUCAAUGACUUAUAUGACCUCUUCAACCUUGAUGCCAUGAACGUAUCGUUAUUACUGAUCUUCAUAUUGUAAGUUCCUUAAAACUGGACAUUUAUUAAUUAAUACCACUAAAUCUUGUUAUUUUCUUAUGUGGAGACACUUGAUAAAAGAAACGAAGGAGUCCAUCGGAUCUUGACACUGAUGCCAUUUUAGUCUCGGUCAUCAAAUUGCAUGGCGACUACGCUGUGGACUAUGUGGCUAGGAUAACGCAACACUAUUCCAAAAUUGACUACCUGUUGGGUCUCCACAACAUUAGUGUUUAUUGGAUUAUUUGCCUCAAGUGAAACUUGGUGUGAUAUCUCGACUUAUCAAGACCAGUAGGACCAAAAGACAAACCUGGAGAGCGUGAUUACAACGCUGUAAAAUGACUCUUUAUGUGGCUUUUCACAAUUACCUUCGAGCUGAUCUUAACUACAACGUGAAAGAUGGCCGCAGACUGACAUACAAGACCAGUGCUACCAACAACCACCUAGCAACGUCUGCAGAUUCUAUGUUACAUACAACAUGCUCCUAUUUAUGAUCCGAGCAAAGGAUAUUCAUGACAUGGUUAUUCAUAACUAAUUUCAGUGAAUAGUUUAAUUUCAUGAUAACAUGACAUUAGUUACGUGUCAAAUUAUGUAGGAUUAUGAGGCUUGUUUUUUCAACGACGGUGCACUCCCAGGGAUUCGAUAACGGAUCGUCAAGUUCAUAAUAUUUGAAGUCACCAACCCACACAGUGAGUUUCACUAUAAAAACACUAGGUCAUGAGAUCUUAUGUAAUAUGAAGUGAUUAUAACUUUAUAACUUGUGAUUUCGUGAUAAAUUGAUUGAAACUUUGCAA